rnacentral:rRNA from 1 species
GAAGGUGUGCUGUGAGGCAUGCUGGAGGUAUCAGAAGUGCGAAUGCUGACAUAAGUAACGAUAAAGCGGGUGAAAAGCCCGCUCGCCGGAAGACCAAGGGUUCCUGUCCAACGUUAAUCGGGGCAGGGUGAGUCGACCCCUAAGGCGAGGCCGAAAGGCGUAGUCGAUGGGAAACAGGUUAAUAUUCCUGUACUUGGUGUUACUGCGAAGGGGGGACGGAGAAGGCUAUGUCAGCCGGGCGACGGUUGUCCCGGUUUAAGCAUGUAGGCGGAGGUUCCAGGUAAAUCCGGUACCUUAUUAACGCUGAGGUGUGAUGACGAGGCACUACGGUGCUGAAGUGAUAAAUGCCCUGCUUCCAGGAAAAGCCUCUAAGCAUCAGGUAACACGAAAUCGUACCCCAAACCGACACAGGUGGUCAGGUAGAGAAUACCAAGGCGCUUGAGAGAACUCGGGUGAAGGAACUAGGCAAAAUGGUGCCGUAACUUCGGGAGAAGGCACGCUGAUAGGUAGGUGAAGUCCCUGCGGACGGAGCUGAAAUCAGUCGAAGAUACCAGCUGGCUGCAACUGUUUAUUAAAAACACAGCACUGUGCAAACACGAAAGUGGACGUAUACGGUGUGACGCCUGCCCGGUGCCGGAAGGUUAAUUGAUGGGGUUAGCGGCAACGCGAAGCUCUUGAUCGAAGCCCCGGUAAACGGCGGCCGUAACUAUAACGGUCCUAAGGUAGCGAAAUUCCUUGUCGGGUAAGUUCCGACCUGCACGAAUGGCGUAAUGAUGGCCAGGCUGUCUCCACCCGAGACUCAGUGAAAUUGAACUCGCUGUGAAGAUGCAGUGUACCCGCGGCAAGACGGAAAGACCCCGUGAACCUUUACUAUAGCUUGACACUGAACACUGGUCCUUGAUGUGUAGGAUAGGUGGGAGGCUUUGAAGCGUGGACGCCAGUCUGCGUGGAGCCAACCUUGAAAUACCACCCUUUAAUGGCUGGUGUUCUAACGUAGACCCGUAAUCCGGGUUGCGGACAGUGUCUGGUGGGUAGUUUGACUGGGGCGGUCUCCUCCCAAAGAGUAACGGAGGAGCACGAAGGUUGGCUAAUCCUGGUCGGACAUCAGGAGGUUAGUGCAAUGGCAUAAGCCAGCUUGACUGCGAGCGUGACGGCGCGAGCAGGUGCGAAAGCAGGUCAUAGUGAUCCGGUGGUUCUGAAUGGAAGGGCCAUCGCUCAACGGAUAAAAGGUACUCCGGGGAUAACAGGCUGAUACCGCCCAAGAGUUCAUAUCGACGGCGGUGUUUGGCACCUCGAUGUCGGCUCAUCACAUCCUGGGGCUGAAGUAGGUCCCAAGGGUAUGGCUGUUCGCCAUUUAAAGUGGUACGCGAGCUGGGUUUAGAACGUCGUGAGACAGUUCGGUCCCUAUCUGCCGUGGGCGCUGGAGAAUUGAGGGGGGCUGCUCCUAGUACGAGAGGACCGGAGUGGACGCAUCACUGGUGUUCGGGUUGUCAUGCCAAUGGCACUGCCCGGUAGCUAAAUGCGGAAGAGAUAAGUGCUGAAAGCAUCUAAGCACGAAACUUGCCCCGAGAUGAGUUCUCCCUGAGACUUUAAGUCUCCUGAAGGAACGUUGAAGACGACGACGUUGAUAGGUCGGGUGUGUAAGCGCAGCGAUGCGUUGAGCUAACCGAUACUAAUGAACCGUGAGGCUUAACCUU